rnacentral:lncRNA from 10 species
AGUAGCAUCAGGCAUAGCUGACUUUUGUUCCUUGUCACCUUUCUUCCAACUCUUGCCUCUUUUGUUGCCUUUACUCCUCUGCAAAAACCUCAAACAGAGGCUCAGUCCUCAGUCACAGGGACCCUGGUCUUUCCAUCUUCCAUCUCAGGUGCCAUCUUCCCUCUCUCAAGAGGGCACCAUGGGUGUUGGGUUCCACUCAUGGCCAAGCCUUGUUAUUUCACCUCCCCAGUGACCUCUUGUCUGCACACAUCCUUUUCCUAGCACUUCUAGUCUCAGCUAGCAUCCUCUCCCACCU